rnacentral:rRNA from 1 species
CCUACGGGGGGCUGCAGUGAGGAAUAUUGGUCAAUGGUCGGGAGGCUGAACCAGCCAAGCCGCGUGAGGGAGGAAGGUACAGAGUAUCGUAAACCUCUUUUGUCAGGGAACAAAGACUGGGACGCGUCCCCGGAUGAGUGUACCUGAAGAAAAAGCAUCGGCUAACUCCGUGCCAGCAGCCGCGGUAAUACGGAGGAUGCGAGCGUUAUCCGGAUUUAUUGGGUUUAAAGGGUGCGCAGGCGGUCUGUUAAGUCAGCGGUCAAAGCCCGGGGCUCAACGUGGGAACUGCCUUUGAAACUGGCAAACUGGAGUGUGUGAGAGGAUAGUGGAAUUCCAGGUGUAGGAGUGAAAUCCGUAGAUAUCUGGAGGAACAUCAGUGGCGAAGGCGACUAUCUGGCACAUAACUGACGCUGAGGAGCGAAAGCGUGGGUAGCAAACAGGAUUAGAUACCCUGGUAGUC